GGCGGCGAGUGGCGAACGGNUGAGUAAUAUAUCGGAACGUACCCAAGAGUGGGGGAUAACGUAGCGAAAGUUACGCUAAUACCGCAUACGAUCUAAGGAUGAAAGCAGGGGACCGCAAGGCCUUGUGCUCCUGGAGCGGNCGAUAUCUGAUUAGCUAGUUGGUAGGGUAAAGGCCUACCAAGGCUACGAUCAGUAGCUGGUCUGAGAGGACGACCAGCCACACUGGAACUGAGACACGGUCCAGACUCCUACGGGAGGCAGCAGUGGGGAAUUUUGGACAAUGGGCGCAAGCCUGAUCCAGCAAUGCCGCGUGAGUGAAGAAGGCCUUCGGGUUGUAAAGCUCUUUUGUCAGGGAAGAAACGGUGGGGGCUAAUAUCCUUCACUAAUGACGGUACCUGAAGAAUAAGCACCGGCUAACUACGUGCCAGCAGCCGCGGUAAUACGUAGGGUGCAAGCGUUAAUCGGAAUUACUGGGCGUAAAGCGUGCGCAGGCGGUUUUGUAAGUCUGAUGUGAAAUCCCCGGGCUCAACCUGGGAAUUGCAUUGGAGACUGCAAGGCUAGAAUCUGGCAGAGGGGGGUAGAAUUCCACGUGUAGCAGUGAAAUGCGUAGAGAUGUGGAGGAACACCG
rnacentral:rRNA from 1 species